UAAAGCAGAGGAAAAGAAGGGAUGAGGAAGGAGGCCACUGUGUGCCGCUGGGCUCCAGGCUGAGCACUCAGACACUUCGAGAAAGGCGUUCUCUCCAUUUCCUGCCCCGUCUGUUCGGUGUUACAGACCCACAUGCUGGCUUUUCCAGCCAAAACCUUGGGCCAAAUCGUGUUUCCAAGAUAAAUUCAUUUGAUUUUGCAAAAUGAGACAGUGGGGUUUAGAUGUCUGUUGCUCUCCUGGAUGCCUUUAUGAAAAUCACAGUCAAAAUGGCUCUUUCCUUCUCUGGAGGCUUUUUUUUUUUUUUUUUUUUUCACCAAUCCCCCACAUUUUUCAUGUUAAAAAUCCCCUGAUAUGAGUGCCAGGUACAAGGAAUGAAACUCUAUCAUCUUAGCUGUCAAUCAGAAGAAAUAUGGAAGUGGAUGAAUGAAAGAGACAACAGAGAGACAAUAAGAACACUUGAAAAUUAAAUCCUUCAGAAAACCCCUUCCCCCAUGGAUACAAAUCUCUAGGGGUAUCAGAGACCAGUCCCUCAUCCCCAGCACCCCAAAAUGUUGAAGUGUCUGUUGUUGUUUUUCCCUUUCCUGCUCAGACCUGAGGAUCCCCAGACUGGGCUGAGGGACCCAAGACACUUUGGGGUUGUGUCCUGCUGGGAGUCGAGCUCCAGAAGGACGAGCCCUUUGCACCCUCCCAGCCUGGGCUCUGCAGGACGAGGCAGCCCAGCUAACACCGGCUGUGAUGCGAGCCAGGAGAGUGCAGAUGGUGACAUCCCCCUGUCCCUGUCGCCCUCCCCCGGUUCCUGUUUGGCAGGGCUGAGCCGCUGUGUGCGGGCGGAGGGAGCUCAGCUGGCCGCUUAAUAUGCGGGUGGCAUUCCCCUGCUGACAGCCAGGGCUGCCUUCCGCCCGCGGGGACACUCAAACACCCCCGUUCUCUCUCCUGCCAGCCAGGGCACCUGUCCCCCUGCCAAGUCUGCCCUUCCCCCUGCCCUCCUCUGCUCCACCUGCGUGGCCGGGGCACCACAGCCCGCCCUGGGGCCAGGGAGGGGGAUUUGCUGGGACAGAGGGAGGGAUUUGCUGGGACAGAGAGUGCUGGAGAAAGUUUUUUCUUCUCUCCCACGAUAUCUAAUGUCACUGCAUCCUUUCCCUCCUCUGGCACAGCAGCUCUCUGGGUAUAAAUGCACACCAAGCCUGUGCUGCCAGGACACCAACCAGGCUGGGCUCUGCUUCCUGAUUUAGCGAGGUUUGGCCGCUCAAAGUCCUGUUUCCCAUCUCAGGACCUCACCCAGCCCCUAGUGGGAUGUGGGAAUGGAGGGCAGCUUUGUUGGCCUGUCAGAGGGCUGGGAGGGGUGCUGGGGAUGGCUGCUGUGCUGGUGUGAAGGGGCUGAGGCAGAGGAGCUAUGGGGAGGGGUGAUGACCCCUUCUGCUCUGCCCUUCUGCAGCUGCCCCUCUGCCCUCUCCUGCUUGGUGUGAGCUGUCCCUUCCCCUCGUCUCGAUUUGUUCUUCUGUUGAGGCUUUUGUGAGCUCUGCCAGCACAUGCCAGCAGACAUCGCUGGUCCUUCACUCCUGGAAGGAUUUUUUGGGGAGGGAGGUGGAAAAGUACAGGUGACUCUGGCCAUCUCCUCCCUUGCUGGUCUCGCCUGGCUAGUAAAGGCUCCUCCUGGGCUUCUCCCAGGGGCUUGUUUGCUUUGGAAGGUGCUCUGAGGUUCAGUGAUGCUCACUGGGCAGUGCCCAGCCUGGAGGAGAGGGCAGUGCAUGCACAUGUGGAAGGUGGCACUAGGAAGAACCCAACCCCACACCAAGGCCAUCUUAGAUCAUUUCCCCAGGCUUUAAAAAAGCCUUGAAUUUCAAAGUCUGGGCAUGCAGUAAGUGAGGUCAGGGAAUUACAUGUUUGCUAGGAGCCAGCAGACAGUUGGAGCUGCCAGUGUUGUGUUUGGAGGAAGAAGGAGCAUGAAAAAGUCUGAGCAAACAAGCUCUGCAGAGCUGUCUUGUGCCUUAGAUGGUAAAACAAAUUUAUUAUAAAACAACCUUUUGGAGGCAAACCCUGUGCAGUGAGGACAUUGCAGUGUCUGUGAGCCCCUGGCAGGGUUGCAAAUGGUCAUUCCUGAAUUCCUGGUGGUCAGAAGUCCUGAAAUAACAUCUCAGGAGCCCUGCACACAGGGUUGCUCCAUCAGGAUAACAUUGUCCAUGGUGCAAGCCUCCCUCCUUGUGGAGCAAGCAUGUUCCUGCUAUCCAAGAGGAUGCUCUGUGGAGCUGGCAGCCCGGCCACACCACAAGCUCAGCAUCCAUCCCCCAGCUGGAGGGACUUGGGAGGAUCCCUGAGGGGCUCUGCUCUGGGAAUGCCUGGCACUGCUUUGUGAGCCCCAUGGAGGGCAGAGGGCAGCAGGGGCUGUGCAGCCAGGGGGUCACGUUGGACAGAAGAAAACAAGGAGAAAGACUUUAGCAAGCAGGGGCUUAGGCCCUUCUGCAUCCUAAAGGAAUCAACAGACACCAGCACUUUGCAGGAUGCUGGGAACCAGCACAGAAAAGGCUGCUGAAUAUAGAAUAAGAGAAGCUCCAUGGUCACCACCCUCUCCUCAGGCGUGCCCUCUUGAAUGCUGUGGAUUGAGCAGACAACAGAGCACCCAUGGGCUGCAUUUUUAAUAUCUGAUCCCACUUGCAUCCUACAUGGGGACUUCAUCUCCCAGUCAUUCUAUAAACAGAGUCUGGGGGCUCCCAGAAACCCCUCUCAGUGGUUCCCCUCUGCAGCACAGCCCUCAGCACCAGCUGCUCAUUGCAUUUCACAGCCAUUCUCCAAAGAAGAAAACCACAGGGUGCAGAGAGGGCUGAGGCUGACCCUUGGCACCUCCACAGACUCACAGCCAGCUGCUCUGGGGAAUGCUUACCACGCUCCCCCAAGCUUGUGGCAGCAUCAACAGUUUCUCCUGUUGGGGAAAACACCCCACAGUGAUGCACAGAGGAGAGUCUGUGCCACUGGGUCUGGGGGUCUCUGCUGGGGACCCCAGCCCGGGGCCCUCUGUGGGUUGGGGAGGACACUGAGAGCUGGUGCAGCCUCCAGGGGAGGCUCCGUGGUGCUGCAGUGUGGUCCAUGUGGCGCUGGCCCUGUCCAGGGUUGCGUAAGCCCUUUGGGAUGCCACGUUAGCGUGGGGAGGAGUCUCUCCCUGGCCACUUUGACAGCUCCUCCUCGAGGCCACUGGGCUCACCCCGGCUGCCACCCCUGCUAACCCCAGCGAGGGGCUCAGCUGCCUCCCCCCGCUGCAGCCAUGGAGGCCCUGCCCUGCCUCAGCUCCUGCCAGCCUGGCAGCAGGGUCUCCUGCACCCACCCUCCCUCUGCUCUCUGCUCUUCCAAGCCUCUGCAGGGUCUGGCACUGCCCCACCUCACAGUGAGUGAAAAGGCAAAGCUGGUCCAGAAAAAGAAAGAUUCUGCCAACCCCCACUGGGGCCACAGUUUUCAAGGUGCAGAUGGGUGACCAAGUGUGACUCCCAUAGAGACAAAAUACCAGGGCUGAGUCCCCACUACCUGGCCCUGACCUCCCUAUGCAAGCAAGACCCUCUGAGCUUUACUCAGCAGCCACUCCCAGGCUAAAAUUCCAUUUGAAUCCAGAAUUGUUUGUGUGAGUCCCUGUAAAGCUCCCUGCUGAGCAGGUCCCUGCGUGUUCAGUGCCGGCCCACCCAGAUGUGCUGCAGCUGCCCUGGGUGCCUGGGGAGCAGGGCAGGGGCUGGGCAGAAGCCAGCCUGGCUCCUGCCACCUGCACAGACCCCUCUGAUACACUACAGGCUCAGAAAGCCACACAAGGUUUAGAUGGGAGUGGAAUUCCCUUUAGCACACACGCACACUUACACACUCCAAGUAAAACACAGCGGGGAAAAAAAUCUCCCUACCCCAUGUGCCCACAUAGAGUCACUAAAGACACAGCCACACCACGACACUGUGUGAAACCAUUCCCUGUGCUGGGAGUUCUGUGGGAACUCAGAAAUGCUCCAGAUCUUACAGGGCUUGUUGAUAACAACAGCAAGAGCCCAGUCCCAUCUCAGCUGUGUGCUGAAGCUGUCACAGUUUCUCCAGAUUUCAGAUUGAAUCCAUAAUAGAAAACACUUAAAUUAGUACCUGGAUGAGCCCUGUGCAGACAGGUGAGACAUAAUUUUGCUGCCCUGCCUGAGCUUUUUCUUUUGGGCUGCACCUAGGGCAGUGUCAAAAGCAGCCCCGAUGUUUCUGUGCCAGGUGCGGGAGGUCCCUCCGGCCCCCGGGGGUGCAACCAGCUGAUCCCGCACAGCUCCACGGAGGAGGCACAGAAUAAACUGUCCGAUAAAUAUUCUGCAAAAAUCCAAACCAUCUCCAAAGCAUUCCCUGGACCUGCCCUGCCACAGCCGCUCCAGCGAUAACAGCCCCGACAUCCCUCGGACCAGAGGACCCAGAAAAGGUUUCCAUGGGAGCCGACAUUCCUCUGGGGCUGAGUCAUGGAAGAGCAGAGUGUUGUGGAAGGAGGGGCUUGAAAAAAAACUUCGAAAAGUUUAUUUCUGCUCUUCCCCCUCCCAACACCGCCCGCACCCCUGCUCCUGCCUAUGUGGCAGACAAUGGCUUGGCUUUAGCUGGUGCGCAGGAUAGCCUUUCAUUUCCACUUAAAACUCGCCCGAUCUACCUUAACAAACGGCUGCGAUUAACUUUUGUCCUUUCGGAGGGAUGCUGAGUUCUUGGGCUGUUUCAAGUUGGCGUCUCUGAGGACUCAGGAGAAUUGGUGACAUUCCCGGAGAAAUAAGACCGGCUGCACUGAAAAAAAUAAAACCGCUGAGAUGAAGUCGACAGCUCUUUUGUUCUCCCUCUGGAUACUCUGGCUGGUUUGAUGUGCCCAGACCUUGGUGUCACGGAUCUCGCUAAGGAACUACUCCCCAGCUGAAAACCCAGAGGGGAAAAAGGGAGAGGAGAGAAGAAUGAGGGCAGGUUAAAGCUUUACAGUCAGAUGCCACCAAAGCAAUAAAGCUCUGGCAGCGAAGUUGAGUGAGAGACAGUUCAGAAGUGGAAAUGCUGCGAAGAGGAGAAAGGGGUGAAGGCAGGAGGGGUCUCUAAAUGCGCUUGGGGUGGAGAGAGCCCAGCUCCCAUCCCGAGGAAGGCAGGGCCAGCACUGGGCAGUCCCCGGGCUGCGACAGAGGGGGGCUCUGGGGACCCCCACGCCGGAGGAAAAGCACAGCAAAGGCAAACGCGAAGCUCGGG